GCAGAUAUUGGAACACAUAUAUUAGAAUUGAAAUGAAACACAGAAGACUAGCCUGGCCCUUGUAUAAGGUGAAAACCAAAUUUGUGAAACAUCUCAUAUUUAA